UGAGAAGAUGAUGUGACUGAAUUUUCACUCAAGAUACAAAGAAAAUAUGGAAGUUCCAGCAAAGAUACUUCUUUUACAAGAUCAAUUUCUGCGGCAGCACUUGAG